rnacentral:rRNA from 1 species
GAUGAACGCUGGCGGCGUGCCUAAUACAUGCAAGUCGAGCGAACGGACGAGAAGCUUGCUUCUCUGAUGUUAGCGGCGGAAGGGUGAGUAACACGUGGAUAACCUACCUAUAAGACUGGGAUAACUUCGGGAAACCGGAGCUAGUACCGGAUAAUAUUUUGAACCGCAUGGUUCAAAAGUGAAAGACGGUAUUGCUGUCACUUAUAGAUGGAUCCGCGCUGCAUUCGCUAGUUGGUAAGGUAACGGCUUACCAAGGCAACGAUGCAUACCCGACCUGAGAGGGUGAUCGGCCACACUGGAACUGAGACACGGUCCAGACUCCUACGGGAGGCAGCAGUAGGGAAUCUUCCGCAAUGGGCGAAAGCCUGACGGAGCAACGCCGCGUGAGUGAUGAAGGUCUUCGGAUCGUAAAACUCUGUUAUUAGGGAAGAACAUAUGUGUAAGUAACUGUGCACAUCUUGACGGUACCUAAUCAGAAAGCCACGGCUAACUACGUG